CCCCCAGUAAGGGCGACUGAACGGGGAGGAGCCCAGCGCGGAACCUCGCGCGCCUCGCCGGCUGCGUCUGAGGAAUGUCGCGUUCCGGAGGGGCCUUCUCCGACCACACCGACCCCCCCCAAGUCCGCUUGAACGCGGCCACUGCCCACGGAGGGUGCGAGGCCCGUACGGGGAUUAGGAGUCGGGCGGUCGGACGGCCCCGUCCGUAGAGUCGGGUUGCCUACUAACGCAGCCCAAAGCAGGUGGUAAACUCCAUCUAAGGCUAAAUAUGACCACGAGACCGAUAGCGAACAAGU
rnacentral:rRNA from 6 species